rfam:Oryza rufipogon genomic scaffold, chr08
AAUAAGCGCAACCAUGAGUUUCCAUAUCCAACUUUGAUCGUCCAUUUUAUUUGAAAUUUUUUUAUGAUUAGUAUUUUUAUUGUUAUUAGAUUAUAAAACAUGAAUAGUACUUUAUGCGUAACUUAUUCUUAUAGGUUUUUCAAAAAAUAUUUAAAUAAGACGAACGAUUAAAGUUGGACACGGAAACUCAUGACUGCACUUAUA